UAAAGGAUGUGGGGUUGAACCACAGGGAGCACAUGGAUGUAAUAAAUUUGCUUUGAUUUGUGCUGUACUAUGCUCUGUUCACCUGGAACUUCAGUUUCCAGAGUUGUCAGUUCUUGGAAAUUUUCCACUUCUAACGAAGGCAAAGCAGGGAAUAUGUCAAGUAAGUUUGAAUUUGCAGGCAUGACCGAUCAAUUCUGCCUGCAUUCAAAAUUAACUUACAGCAUGGCUUAAAGCAGCAUCUGCAAAAUGGAACUCAAAUUGGACCCCAAAUUUGAAUCCUCCUAAGCCUCAAGUUGGUCUGAUCUGGAAAUGAUGGGAAGAGACUGAAACAAGGAGAAAUUACCCGAGCAAUGAUGUGAGCCUGCACGAGAGCACGGUUCAAAGCCCAACGCUCCAGCCUGCCUCGAUAAACAACCGCCCAGCUGAAAAAGAGCGGCGAAUACAAAGGCGCAGCAACCUGCUGGCUCGAGGAAAAAUGCAAACCAAACUGGCAUUGUUGUGAGCUGCCGAGAGCGGGGAAGGCUGUGCCAAACGGCAUCAUGCGAGUGACAAGCGCGCAGGAAAUUUAAUAAAAUGCAGUGCCAUGCUGAAGAGCAGCAGUGGCAGGAGCAGCCAUCAUG